rnacentral:SRP_RNA from 2 species
GCCGGGCAUGGUGAGGCAUGCUUGUAGUCCCAGCUACUUGGGAGGCUGAGGCAGGAGAAUCACUUGAACCCAGGAGGUGGAGGUUGCAGUGAGCCGAGAUUGUGCCACUGCACUCCAGCCUGGGUGACAGAGUGAGACUCUGUCUCAA